GGUUUAAGAGGAGAUCCAGGACAAGUGGGCAAACCAGGACCACCAGGGCCACCGGGACUACCAGGAAAAGAUGGUCUUUCAGGAGUCUCAUUAGACAUACCAGCUGUUUCGGGAAUUCAAGGAAUUCCUGGAGAACUAGGAGAACCUGGACCGAAAGGCGAAC